UUUCCGUAGGUGAACCUGCGGAAGGAUCAUUACCGAGUGAGGGCCCUCUGGGUCCAACCUCCCACCCGUGUUGCACGAACCUGUGUUGCUUCGGCGGGCCCGCCGCCAGGCCGCCGGGGGGCAACAGCCCCCGGGCCCGCGCCCGCCGAAGCCCCCCUCUGAACGCUGUCUGAAGUUGCAGUCUGAGACAACUAGCUAAAUUAGUUAAAACUUUCAACAACGGAUCUCUUGGUUCCGGCAUCGAUGAAGAACGCAGCGAAAUGCGAUAACUAAUGUGAAUUGCAGAAUUCAGUGAAUCAUCGAGUCUUUGAACGCACAUUGCGCCCUCUGGUAUUCCGGAGGGCAUGCCUGUCCGAGCGUCAUUGCUGCCCUCAAGCACGGCUUGUGUGUUGGGCCCCGUCCCCCCCGCUCCGGGGAGGACGGGCCCGAAAGGCAGCGGCGGCACCGCGUCCGGUCCUCGAGCGUAUGGGGCUUCGUCACCCGCUCUUGUAGGCCCGGCCGGCGCCAGCCGACCCCCAACCUUUUAUUUUUUCUCAGGUGACCUCGGAUCAGGAGGUGCACAU
rnacentral:sRNA from 1 species